rnacentral:rRNA from 1 species
UAGACGACAACAGUCCGCCGUACUACGGAGGGGUAAUCCAGGGAAACUUGGUCUAAUACCCCAUAGAAUUUUUGUAAGGCAUCUUAUAAGAUUUAAAGCUUUGGUGGAUACGGAUUGGCUCGCGUGACAUUAGCUGGAUGGUAAGGUAACGGCUUACCAUGGCUAUGAUGUCUAGGGGUUCUGAGAGGAAGGUCCCCCACACUGGAACUGAGACACGGUCCAGACUCCUACGGGAGGCAGCAGUGAGGAAUAUUGGACAAUGGAUGGAAAUCUGAUCCAGCCAUGCCGCGUGAAGGAAAGAAGGUCCUAUGGAUUGUAAACUUCUUUUGUAUGGGAGCAAUAAGGCCUACGAGUAGGCUGAUGAGAGUACCAUACGAAUAAGCACCGGCUAACUCCGUGCCAGCCGCCGC